AACGAACGCUGGCGGCAUGCCUAACACAUGCAAGUCGAACGAGACCUUCGGGUCUAGUGGCGCACGGGUGCGUAACGCGUGGGAAUCUACCCUUGGGUUCGGAAUAACAGUGAGAAAUUACUGCUAAUACCGGAUGAUGACGUAAGUCCAAAGAUUUAUCGCCCAAGGAUGAGCCCGCGUAGGAUUAGCUAGUUGGUGAGGUAAAGGCUCACCAAGGCGACGAUCCUUAGCUGGUCUGAGAGGAUGAUCAGCCACACUGGGACUGAGACACGGCCCAGACUCCUACGGGAGGCAGCAGUGGGGAA
rnacentral:rRNA from 1 species